rnacentral:rRNA from 1 species
CUGCUCUCCGCCAGAGAACUACAAGUGAAAAACUUCAAACUCAAAGGACUUGGCGGUGUCCCAUAUCGACCUAGAGGAGCCUGUCCUAUAAUCGAUACUCCCCGCUCUACCUAACCUCAACUAGCACUCCACAGCCUAUAUACCGCCGUCGACAGUCUACCCCAUGAGGGCCCAACAGUAGACACAAUAACCCAACCGCUAACACGUCAGGUCAAGGUGUAGCACAUGCUGAGGAAGAGAUUGGCUACAUUUUUUACAUUAAAAAACACGAAAUGCAACAUGAAACCCUGCAUGAAGGUGAAUUUAGUAGUAAGAUCUAAUGAGAGUAUUUAUCUUAACAACGCUCUGGGACGCGCACACACCGCCCGUCA